rnacentral:rRNA from 1 species
UACGAAGGGGGCUAGCGUUGUUCGGAAUUACUGGGCGUAAAGCGCGCGCAGGCGGUCUUCCAAGUCAGUGGUGAAAGCCUGGAGCUCAACUCCAGAACUGCCAUUGAAACUGUUAGACUUGAGUACGAGAGAGGUGAGUGGAAUUCCCAGUGUAGAGGUGAAAUUCGUAGAUAUUGGGAAAGAACACCAGUGGCGAAGGCGGCUCACUGGCUCGUAACUGACGCUCAGGCGCGACAGCGUGGGGGAUCAAACAGG